rnacentral:lncRNA from 1 species
CGCGGCGGCGCCCGCCCGCGCCUCCAUCCGGGUCCUGGCGCGGUGCUCUCCCGGCAGCGACGGGCGCGAGGGCCGGGGCAUUCCCACGGCCGCGACGGCCCUCUCCGCGAGCGCGAGGAAACCAGGAUUACCGAGGAGGAAAAAAAGCCUUCCUGUGGUGCUCAACUGUGAUUCCUUUUCACCAUUCACCCUGGAUGUUCUCUUCACUGUGGGAUGAGGUAGUAGGUUGUAUAGUUUUAGGGUCACACCCACCACUGGGAGAUAACUAUACAAUCUACUGUCUUUCCUAACGUGAUAGAAAAGUCUGCAUCCAGGCGGUCUGAUAGAAAGUCAGUUAACUAAUUGUACAAUAUUUAAGAUUAACUUGUCUUAAAGAGAUGUAGUGCAGCAUUUGUUUAUGGCCUGGAAAUAAAUUAAUUUAGAGAUAAAGUCUGUAGCAAGUACACUGGAUGGGGGUGGGGAAACCUUUUGCUUCUUGUCUUAUU